rnacentral:tRNA from 1 species
AAAUAGGUAAGCUAAAUACCCCAAGCUAAUGGGCUCAUACCCCAUAUAUAGGAAUAUCCUCCUAUUUA